rnacentral:rRNA from 1 species
UAUGUGUGCCAAAGCAGUGAGGCAGUAAAAGUAGGCAAAUCCGCUUUGAUAAUGAUGGGAUGUGAUGGGGAGCGAAAGUCCGUUGCGAAGUAUGUGUUGUCACACUGUCAAGAAAAGUCGCUAUGGGGGUUAAAGGUACCCGUACCGCAAACCGACACAGGUGGGGGAGGAGAGUAUCCUAAGGCCAGCGAGAGAACGGUUGUUAAGGAACGCGGCAAAAUGACCCCGUAACGUAGGGAUAAGGGGUGCCACCAUCAGGUGGCCGCAGAGAAUAGGCCCAAGCGACUGUUUACCAAAAACAUAGGUUUCUGCUAAGUCGCCAGACGAUGUAUAGGAGCUGACGCCUGACCGGUGCUGGAAGGUUAAGGGGAUCUGUUAGAGCAAUCGAAGCAGUGAACUUAAGCACCAGUAAACGGCGGCCGUAACGAUAACGGUCCUAGAGGAAGGAAA